AUUGAAUUUGUAACACCAAAUCCCAUUGGUAAUCUUGAAGAAGAACCCAUCAUUGUUGACUGCCAUAGUUGCUGUCUGAGCUUUAAAUAUUGGAGAAAAUCGGGCUUUUACCUGAAAGCGUUUGUAUUGUUGAGGUCACAGAAUAUUUCCCUGUGUACGAUUUGGUUGGAUUUAGCUGGGAAUGUAGACCUGCACAUGGCCACAGCUUUGAAGCCGGUUCCUUCUCACAUAAGGGAAGUUGACUGGCAUUUUCUGGUAAAUUUCUUCUUAAGAGAUAAGAAAAGCCAAAAGCUUCAUACGCGUUGAAUGAAAUUUGACGGAAUUUUCAUGGUUGGAAGUUUCUGCCUGUUGCCGGCUUUCGAAAAUUUCGCCACUCAGCGUGCUUAUUUCGAGUCCUUUAAAGUUCCUGCCGCUAGCCAAACCCUCGCAUCGCUUCAUUUUCUGCGGAAAAACGGAAAUUUGUGAAGGAAUUAUCUGUGUGAAGGAUUGUAGUUUAGAAGUUUGAAGUUUUGGUAAGAUGUCGAAUAGGGCUUUCAUUUGCUAUGUUAUGGCGGUGGUCUUGAGCAUGAUUGCUGUUAUGGGAGUGAAUGCUCAGGAUGUUUCAUCCCCUGCUCCUGCCCCAACCAGCGAUGGGAACGCCAUAGACCAAGGAAUCGCCUGCAUUCUCAUGAUUUUGGCCCUGCUUCUCACCUAUUUCUUGCACUGAUUACACAUUUAGACUUUCUUCUGCUCAUACACAUUUGGUUUUUCUUAUCGAAUUAGGGUUUCUAAAUUUUGUUAAAGUAUCCAGGGGGCAAGAUGGCCCCUGCUGUAAAUCAAGUGCUGCAAAGAUCGACUUCCAAUUCGUUAUCCAUUAUCUAUGCUUACCUGGGCACGAUUAUACAACAGCAAAUUUUCAUUAAGAUUAUUUGUAUAUGAGAAACAGUUUCUUUUAGUAAAAUCAUUCAAGUUGUCUAAUCUAGUGAAAAUUUUCAGUUUAGGCUGCUAUACAAUGGUGAUUUACAUUUAGAGUGAAAUAUCUCGUGAAUUUAAAAGAUGUUUUCAAGUGUUAAUUUAUAAAUUUUAUCCCUCA